rnacentral:rRNA from 1 species
UACGUAGGUGGCAAGCGUUGUCCGGAAUUAUUGGGCGUAAAGCGCGCGCAGGCGGUCCUUUAAGUCUGAUGUGAAAGCCCACGGCUCAACCGUGGAGGGUCAUUGGAAACUGGGGGACUUGAGUGCAGGAGAGAAGAGUGGAAUUCCACGUGUAGCGGUGAAAUGCGUAGAGAUGUGGAGGAACACCAGUGGCGAAGGCGACUCUUUGGCCUGUAACUGACGCUGAGGCGCGAAGGCGUGGGGAGCGAACGGG